rnacentral:rRNA from 1 species
UACGUAGGGCGCAAGCGUUGUCCGGAAUUAUUGGGCGUAAAGAGCGUGUAGGCGGCCAACUAAGUCCUGCGUGAAAUCUCGGGGCUCAACCCCGAGCGGUCGUGGGAAACUGGUUGGCUAGAGUGCGGGAGAGGAGAGUAAAAUUCCUGGUGUAGCGGUGAAAUGCGCAGAUAUCAGGAAGAACACCCGUGGCGAAGGCGGCUCUCUGGAACGCAACUGACGCUGAGACGCGAAAGCGUGGGGAGCAAACAGG